rnacentral:lncRNA from 1 species
UGAGAAAGCAAACGCCUCUUCGAUUUCUGAGCAGGCGCCUCUUCGAUGUCUGAAGCUCCGUCGAGUGCAGCUUUUUAUAGGGCUGGCAUUAAGUUCCAAAUCACACUUGAAUCUCCACCAGUAGAAGCUCCAUUCUUGCACUUCUAAGAUCUUGAUUUGUCCGACCUCUUCUCUCUUCAAUACCUUUGAAAAUGUCUGGCCCCUCCGACCGUCGUUUUGACUUGAACCUUGUUGAAGAGGCAGCCCCGCCUUCUCCAGACAACAUAUGGCGCCCAUCCUUCGUCUCCCCUACUGGUCCUCUUACCGUUGGGGAUUCCGUGAUGAAGAAUGAUAUGACCGCUGCGGUGGUGGCCAGGAACCUUCUCACUCCCAAAGAUAACAGACUACUUUCCAAACGGUCUGAUGAGUUAGCUGUUAAGGAUUCACUGGCUCUCAGUGUUCAGUGUGCAGGUUCUGUGUCUAAUAUGGCCCAACGCCUAUUUGCUCGAACCCGCCAAGUUGAAUCAUUGGCGGCCGAAGUGAUGAGUCUCAAACAGGAGAUUAGAGGGCUCAAGCAUGAGAAUAAACAGUUGCACCCGGCUCGCACAUGACUAUGCUACAAACAUGAAGAGGAAGCUUGACCAGAUGAAGGAAACUGAUGGUCAGGUUUUACUUGAUCAUCAGAGAUUUGUGGGUUUGUUCCAAAGGCAUUUAUUGCCUUCGUCUUCUGGGGCUGUACCGCGUAAUGAAGCUCCAAAUGAUCAACCUCUGAUGCCUCCUCAUUCUAGGGUUCUGUCCAGUACUGAGGCUCCGAAUGAUCCCCCUCCGAUGCCUUCUCUUUCUGGGGCUCUACCGACUGCUGAGACUUCUCCUAAGCAACCUUUGUGAAGGCUCCAUCUUGUUUGUUUAUUUUGACUCAUGUAUAUGUACAUAUUUGUAGCUUAUCGGGGAUAUCAAUAAAUAAGUUUUCCUUCAUUUCAACGUAUUGUGUUAAAUACACCAAAGCCUUCUUCGCUAAGUUCUUUGAAUUUUCUUUUGUUGAAGCUUGUAUGUUGAAGCUUUCUGAGUGGAGCAUGUAGGUUGGGGUAGUGUUCCCUUAAUUUUUCGAGUGCGGAAAACUUCUCGGUUGGAGACUUGGAAAAUCCAAGUCACUGAGUGGGAUCGGCUAUAUGAAUCUUAGAACGCCAUUGUGCUCGGUCCUGUGUCAUGUCCUUCGUUAGAUCCAAGUACUCUAAGUCUUUUCUUAGAGUCUCUUCCAAAGUUUUCCUAGGUCUUCCUCUACCCCUUCGGCCCUGAACCUCUGUCCCAUAGUCGCAUCUUCUAAUCGGAGCGUCAGUAGGCCUUCUUUGCACAUGUCCAAACCACCGUAACCGAUUUUCUCUCAUCUUUCCUUCAAUUUCGGCUACUCCUACUUUACCCCGGAUAUCCUCAUUCCUAAUCUUAUCCUUUCUCGUGUGCCCACACAUCCAACGAAGCAUCCUCAUCUCCGCUACACCCAUUUUGUGUACGUGUUGAUGCUUCACCGCCCAACAUUCUGUGCCAUACAGCAUCGCCGGCCUUAUUGCCGUCCUAUAAAAUUUUCCCUUGAGCUUCAGUGGCAUACGGCGGUCACCAAACACGCCAGAUGCACUCUUCCACUUCAUCCAUCCAGCUUGUAUUCUAUGGUUGAGAUCUCCAUCUAAUUCUCUGUUCUUUUGCAAGAUAGAUCCUAGGUAACGAAAACGGUCGCUCUUUGGUAUUUCUCUUGAUCUCCGAUCCUCACCCCUAACUCGUUUUGGCCUUCAUCUGCACUGAACUUGCACUCCAUAUAUAUUCUGUCUUUGAUCGGCUUAGGCGAAGACCUUUAGAUUCCAACACUUCUCUCCAAAGGUUAAGCUUUGCAUUUACCCCUUCCUGAGUUUCAUCUAUCAACACUAUAUCGUCUGCGAAAAGCAUACACCAAGGAAUAUCAUCUUGAAUAUGUCCUGUUAACUCAUCCAUUACCAACGCAAAAAGGUAAGGACUUAAGGAUGAGCCUUGAUGUAAUCCUACAGUUAUGGGAAAGCUUUCGGUUUGUCCUUCAUGAGUUCUUACGGCAGUCUUUGCUCCUUCAUACAUAUCCUUUAUAGCUUGGAUAUAUGCUACUCGUACUCCUUUCUUCUCUAAGAUCCUCCAAAGAAUGUCUCUUGGGACCCUAUCAUACGCUUUUUCCAAAUCUAUAAAGACCAUGUGUAAAUCCUUUUUUCCCAUCUCUAUAUCUUUCCAUCAAUCUUCGUAAGAGAUAGAUUGCCUCCAUGGUUGAGCGCCCUGGCAUGAACCCGAAUUGGUUGUCCGAAACCCGUGUCUCUUGCCUCAAUCUAUGCUCAAUGACUCUCUCCCAGAGCUUCAUUGUAUGACUCAUUAACUUAAUACCCCUAUAGUUCAUGCAAUUUUGUACGUCGCCCUUAUUCUUGUAGAUAGGCACCAAAGUGCUCGUUCGCCACUCAUUUGGCAUCUUCUUCGUUUUCAAAAUCCUAUUGAAAAGGUCAGUGAGCCAUGUUAUACCUGUCUCUCCCAAAACUUUCCACACACUUCGAUUGGUAUAUCGUCUGGGCCUAUUGCUUUUCUAUGCUUCAUCUUCUUCAAAGCUACAACCACUUCUUCCUUCCGGAUUCGACGAUAAAAAGAGUAGUUUCUACACUCUCUUCUGAGUUACUCAACUCCCCUAAAGAAGCACUCCUUUCAUGUCCUUCAUUGAAAAGAUUAUGAAAAUAACCUCUCCAUCUGUCUUUAACCGCGUUCUCUGUAGCAAGAACCUUUCCAUCCUCAUCCUUGAUGCACCUCACUUGGUUUAGGUCCCUUGUCUUCUUUUCCCUUGCUCUAGCUAGUUUAUAGAUAUCCAACUCUCCUUCUUUGGUAUCUAGUCGUUUAUACAUAUCGUCGUAAGCCGCUAACUUAGCUUCUCUGACCGCUUUCUUCGCCUCUUGCUUCGCUUUUCUAUACCUUUCACCAUUUUCAUCGGUCCUCUCCUUGUAUAAGGCUUUACAACAUUCCUUCUUAGCCUUCACCUUUGUUUGUACCUCCUCAUUCCACCACCAAGAUUCCUUUUGGUGUGAGGCAAAGCCCUUGGACUCUCCUAAUACCUCUUUUGCUACUUUUCGGAUACAACUAGCCAUGGAAUCCCACAUUUGGCUAGCUUCCCCCUCUCUAUCCCACACACAUUGGGUGAUUACCUUCUCUUUGAAAAUGGCUUGUUUUUCUUCUUUUAGAUUCCACCAUCUAGUCCUUGGGCACUUCCAAGUCUUGUUCUUUUGUCUCCCUCUUUUGAUAUGUACAUCCAUCACCAACAAGCGAUGUUGAUUAGCCACGCUCUCUCCUGGUAUAACUUUGCAAUCCUUACAAGUUAUACGAUCCCCUUUCCUCAUUAGAAGAAAAUCUAUUUGUGUUUUUGACGACCCACUCUUGUAGGUGAUCACAUGUUCUUCUCUCUUCUUAAAGAAGGUGUUGGCUAAGAAGAGAUCAUAUGCCAUUGCAAAAUCCAAGAUAGCUUCCCCAUCCUCGUUUCUCUCCCCAAAACCAUGGCCACCAUGAAAACCUCCAUAGUUGCCUGUCUCCCUGCCCACGUGUCCAUUUAGAUCUCCUCCUAUAAAUAACUUCUCCGUCUGAGCAAUUCCUUGCACCAAGUCUCCAAGGUCUUCCCAAAAUUUCUCCUUCGAACUCGUAUCCAACCCUACUUGAGGUGCGUACGCACUAAUCACAUUGAUAAGUUCUUGUCCUAUUACAAUCUUGAUUGCCAUGAUUCUAUCUCCUACCCUCUUGACAUCUACAACAUCUUGUGUCAAGGUCUUGUCCACGAUGAUGCCAACACCGUUUCUCGUUCUAUUUGUGCCCGAAUACCAAAGUUUAAACCCCUGAGUUUUCUAGAUCCUUUGCCUUACUACCAACCCACUUAGUUUCUUGUAGGCACAUAAUAUUUAUCCUUCUCCUCACCAUAACUUCCACUACUUCCAUAGAUUUUCCCGUUAAGGUUCCUAUAUUCCACGUUCCUAAACGCAUUUUGCUCUCUUGAACUCUACCCUUCUGUCCUAGCUUCUUCACCCUCCCCCGUCUAAUAGGAUCAAAGUACUUCUUUUGUGUGUCCCGUGUAAAGUUGAUAGGAGCAUAUGCUCCCAAACAACUUUGAGUGGAGUCGUUCGAAAAGAAGUUUCUACGGCCCCUUUGCUCAUUUAACACUGCAUCCGGGUGCCGAUGGAGAUACAGCGACCCUUGCUCACUUAUCACUGUGCUCGGGCCACACAGCGCGCCACUUACGGGUGACGCCCUAGCUUUAGCGCGAUUUUGUUCUGGAUUCAUUUUCAUAAGGAUUCGACGUGAUCAUGGAGUGCCGGCUGUCGACUACCUGACGCCCUCCCCCUCCUCCUUUAUCCGGGCUUGGGACCGGCAAUGUAAAAUUACAUAGGCGGAGUUACCCAAUUAAAAAUAAACAAGCGGCUAAAAUUCUUACAUGUUUUUAAUAUAAUCAUUUGACGAUUGUACGAGAUACAUAUAUUCAUAGUUCAUCCUAAUAAUAGAAGUCCUAUGUGUUUUUUUUAUUUUUAUUUUUUUAAACAAACGAUAUUAUUUACACUGAGAGAAUGAGUGAAUGAGCUAACAAUAAUCCAGUUCAAAUUCGAUUUGAUAAUCCAAAUCCAUGUUUAAUUAUGUAAUAAUAAUCUUCCAUACCAUAACUGCGAGACCCAUGAAAAUCAGGCUGAACCGGAUCCUCCGGUUUAUUCCAAAGCAGCUUUUAAAUUGCCCGCCACAAAGAAAGCCUCCCCAAAACCCUAUUUUACAAUCGUAGCCGUGUGAAAAUUUUGCUCCCGAAUUCAAGACUUCCCCGUUUGGUUCCCGAGAAAGGGAGGGAAAACCGGCUCAACAUUUCAGUUUUACCUCCCUGGAAGAGUUUCAAUCUCUCAAAUUUGCCCGUUCAAAGUGCUAGGGUUUCGAACGCCAUGCCCUGGGAGGAUGAAAUCGUUAUGCGCGAUGUCACCCAUGCGGGCCUCGUCGUCGGCGACCGCAUUGGCCGUGAAGUCGCGUCGCAGCUCGAUCUUGAAGAAGCCCUAGAAGCUUCCCGAUACGCCAGUCACCCCUAUUCUACUCAUUCCAGAGAGGUAAUUUCCGUAAUUUAUGCGAAUUAAAAGCUUCGAUUUUUGUGGUAGAAGUUUUAUAUUUAGGGCUCAGAUUGCAAGGUGUUAGUUUUAGGCUCAUUGUUUCUCUUGUAAGAUUUACGCCUUGGUUAUUCGUAUGGCUGCAUUUGAUCUUUGAGAAGUAUAUAUUCCCAAGUAUAAUUGCAUACCAAUUAUUGUUAGUAUAACCUUGAACUGGAUCAUUGUUCUUGAACUGAAGCAUCGGCAUUAACUUUGUACUUGGUAAUGAUAGAACUUCUUGAAUUUAUUGUAUUUUUUUUGGUUAUUCAGCACUACCGCACUGGUGGAUCACUAAGUGUAUUAUUCAGUUCUAUUCUCCGAAGCUUUACAAUGAUGUUUACCUCCAUUGCAGUGGCCACCUUUGGUUGAGGUGGUGGAUAAUUGGGAGUUGCCUCUGGUACUUAUUGAAAGAUACAAUGCAGCUGGUGGGGAAGGAAAUUCAUUACGUGGGAUAUUUCCCGAGAUUCGUAGGGCAUGGGCAUCAGUAGAUAGCUCCUUGUUUCUCUGGCGUGUCAACAAGUGGUGAGUGUAUAGUCAAAUGAUAAUACUACUAAUAGAAAAACUAUGAAAGUAAAGAAUUUCAAGGUGUGGAUAUCAUAACUAGCAUCAUACUUGUAGCUUUUUGACCACUGGUCCAUGGUUUUCAUCUCCACACUUUUGAUUAAAUCUCUCUGACAUUCUCUAUUUAUCAGGGAUGGACAAUGUCCGGAAUAUAGUGGGGAGGAUCAAGCUAUUUGUGCUAUUGGCCUUGCUAAAUCUAAACCUGGUGUUUCAUUGAAGCUAUUCAGUAUCUUUUGAUUUUAGCAACCCCUGUUGAGGUAUGUUGGUUAUUAUCUGGUUUAUUUUAUGUCUAUAUUCCCAUAGGUACAAUUCCUACAACUGAAAACUGAAUUCCAGGCAUUGCCCAGUUGAUCCCACAUAGAUUGUGGUGUUAAGAUUAAUUGCUGCUUUAGAAUUUCAUUUCUUACUUUUUUCCUGUGAAGUUAGUGAUGACUGCUUAAAAUUAUUACCAGGGGGUAUACAUUGCUUUUAAUUAUACUUAGAUAUUUUUAUAAGUUGGAUUACUAAGACAUACUUGUUUAUCUAAACUAAGGAUAGAGUUUUCCCUAAGCAAGUUGGUGGUCGCAGUUCGAGUCUUGGAAAAAACAAUCUGGAGACAUGGGUAUGGCUUGGCAGAAGUCUCCAGUAUUGGUCUGCCUCUCUCUUUAGAAGAUAUUUAACUUGCGAAUUGAAUAUUCAGUAAUAAUUAGGUACAAAUUUUUAUUUUUCUGUUUUUGACUUCAUUGACUCUUGUUUAAGCUGUAUCUUCUUUUUGAUACUUGCCAUCAAGGGUUUCUUUUAAUUUGUAGCAUAGAACUUUUAACCAUUUCUAGGUUGAAGUUUGUAGUUUUCCUUAAUGGUCUCUGCCUUUUAUCAGUUAAAUCUUGUAGGAGUAUGUUGCUCUGGAGGGGCUGAUGGCACAGAUCCAUAUGCAGAGGUCUCACUACAGCCAUUGCCAGAGUAUACAGUACCAUCUGACGGAAUCACAAUGACAUUUAUCACGUGUACUGACAAGGGUCGUAUUUUCCUUGCUGGGCGUGAUGGGCACAUUUAUGAGCUACAUUAUACGACUGGAUCAGGCUGGCAAAAGCGUUGUCGGAAAGUUUGUCUGACUGCUGGUAUAGGAAGUGUUAUUUCAAGGUUGGUUGGACUAUCUUAUUUUUUUCCCUUCUUUGUCUCCAUAAAUGGGGGUAAGGCUAGCCGACAUUCACCUCUCCCAGACCCUGCGUAAAGCGGGAGCCUUGUGCACUGGGUACGACGACGACGACGACCUUUGUACUCUUCAAAGUUAUAAUUAUGCUGGUGGUUUUUCCAAUUUCCACCUAAAAGUUUGAAGUUGGAUAUUCUUUUCAAAGAUAACAUAUUAACAGGACACGUUUUUUUUUUUUUUUUUCAGAUGGGUAGUACCUAAUGUUUUUAAGUUUGGAGCUGUUGACCCCGUUGUUGAAAUGGUUUUUGAUAAUGAAAGACACAUCCUGUAUGCACGGACUGAAGAAAUGAAACUUCAGGUGUAUAUUGUGGGGCAAAAUGCUGAUGGGCCAUUGAAGAAAGUGGCAGAAGAAAGGAAUCUGAUAAAUCAGAGGGAUCAAUAUGGGGGUAGACAAUCAACUGGACCUAGAAGUUCAAAUCGAUUGACAAAGUCAUCAAUAGUCUGCAUAUCACCAUUGUCUACACUGGAAUCCAAGUCUCUACACCUUGUUGCUGUUUUGUCAGAUGGCAGAAGGAUGUAUCUUACCACUUCUCCAUCUAGUGGUAAUCUUGGUGGGUUCAAUACAAACCAUUAUAAACCUACAUGUUUAAAAGUUGUGACGACAAGGCCUUCUCCUCUGCUAGGGGUCAGUGGUGGACUUGCCUUUGGAAGCAUGUCUCUUCCGGGUAGAUCUCAGAACAAUGAUCUCUCCCUAAAGGUUGAGGCAGGACAUUAUUGUGCUGGUACUCUUGUCCUUUCUGAUCAUCUCCAGCAACCACAUCUUCUCUUCUCAUUGUGAGCCGCGAUUCAACCGCACAGUCAACUGGGUUAAGUACUUCAGGGAUAAGUUCAAGGAGUUCUCGGGCAUUGCGGGAAUCCGUAUCUUCUUUACCAGUUGAAGGACGAAUGCUUUCUGUAGCAGAUGUUUUCCCCUUGCCUGAUACUGCAACAACCGUACUGUCCCUAUAUUCAGAAAUUGAAUACGGUGGAUAUGAAGGCUUGGAUGAGUCCUGUGAAAAGGUAUCUGAAAAGCUUUGGGCCAGAGGAGACCUUUCAAUCCAACAUAUAUUGCCAAGGAGGCGCGUUGUUGUUUUCAGUACUAUGGGAAUGAUGGAAAUAGUUUUCAAUCGACCUGUGGACAUUCUGAGGAGGUUGUUUGAGGCCAACACCCCCAGGUCAAUCUUAGAAGAAUUCUUCAAUUGUUUUGGAGCUAGUGAGGCUGCUGCAAUGUGUCUAAUGCUUGCAGCUAGGAUAGUACAUUCAGAAACUCUUGUAAGCAAUGUUGUUGCACAGAAGGCGGCUGAAGCUUUUGAAGACCCAAGAUUAGUUGGGAUGCCACAACUUGGGGGUAGCAGUGCAUUAUCUAGUACUAGAACAACUGCUGGGGGAUUCAGCAUGGGGCAAGUUGUUCAGGAGGCUGAGCCUGUGUUUUCAGGUGCACAUGAAGGGCUCUGUUUGUGCGCUGCAAGGUUGCUAUUUCCUCUGUGGGAACUUCCUGUCAUGGUUAUAAAGGGUGGUUUAGGUUCUGCAGAUAUUACUAUGUCAGAAGAUGGGUUAGUCGUAUGCAGACUGUCUCUUGAGGCUAUACAAGUCCUUGAAAACAAGAUUCGUUCGCUAGAGAAUUUUUUGAGGUCCAGAAGGAGCCAAAGGAGGGGACUUUAUGGUUGUGUUGCUGGUUUAGGAGAUCUGACUGGUUCUAUUCUUUAUGGAGCUGGUUCAGAAUAAGGUGGUGGUGACCGUGGUAUGGUGAGGAACUUAUUCGGUGCUUACUCAAGGAACACUGAGUCCGGUGAAGGUGGUAUGUCUAAUAAAAGGCAGAGAUUACCAUAUAGUGCUGCUGAACUAGCAGCAAUGGAGGUAGUUUUCUUAUAUAUUUAAUGUACCAAGGUGUUUGUUUAUACAGUCCUUUUUCUUUCCUUUUCCUAAUUUUUAUUUAUCUUUUAUCCUACAGGUGAGGGCAAUGGAAUGCAUCAGGCAGUUAAUUCUUAGAUCCAGUGAAGCCCUGUUUCUGCUCCAGCUUCUUUCACAGCACCAUGUCACACGCCUGGUUCAGGGGCUUGAUGCUAACACAAGACAUAAAUUAAUUGGAAUGACAUUUCAUCAGUUAGUUUGUUCGGAGGAAGGUGACCACCUUGUGACAAGGCUAAUAUCUGCACUUGUGGAGGUACUGCAAUUUUACUUUUAACAUUGAGGAAUCUCACUUUGGCAAAAUUUCCUUUUCUUUCCCUUGCUUGUUUAUCAGGUUUAUUUAUUUAUUUAUUGCAACUCUUCAUUCUGAUAUUUUCUUGUCAUUCAUUGCUCCAGUAUUAUACCGGUCCAGAUGGCAGGGGGGCAGUAGAUGAUAUUAGUGGGAGAUUACGGGAAGGCUGUCCAAGCUAUUAUAAGGAGUCUGAUCACAAGUUUUUUCUAGCUGUGGAGUGUCUUGAGAGAGCUGCUGUAACUCCAGAUCCUGAGAAGGAUAGUCUUGCUAGAGAAGCCUUCAAUUUCUUAAGUUCCAGAAUCUGCUGAUUUGCGAACUGUUUGCAAACGGUUUGAGGAUUUGAGGUCAAUUUCUUGGGACUAAACCCAGUGCUGCCCAGUGCUGUUUUGUUUGGUUGUCUAUACUUAGGUCAUUAUGUCUUAGACCUAAAAUUGAUUAUGUUGCAGGUUUUAUGAAGCAGUGGUUCGCUUGCCUUUACAAAAGGCACAGGCUCUUGACCCAGCUGGUGAUGCUUUUAAUGACCAAAUUGAUGCAGCAGUUAGAGAGCAUGCACUUGCUCAACGUGAACAGUGCUAUGAGAUUGUCAUCAGUGCAUUGCGUUCUCUGAAAGGCAAGCCUUCUCAGAGGGAGUUUGGUUCUCCUUUGAGGCCUGCUGCACGAUCUGUCCUUGAUCAGGUCUCUCGGAACAAAUAUAUUUCCCAGAUUGUUCAGCUGGGCAUUCAGUCCCCUGACAGAUUAUUUCACGAGUAUUUAUAUCGUGCUAUGAUUGAUUUGGGCCUUGAAAAUGCAUUGUUGGAGUAUGGAGGUCCUGAUUUGGUGCCAUUUCUAGAAAGUGCUAUUUCUGGGGUAACAUCGGCCGGUUCUCCAAUUGGUCACUCAGGAACAAGCAUCCCAUCCCAUCAAGCCAAAUAUUCUGAACUGUUGGCACGGUAUUAUGUCUUGAAGAGGCAGCAUCUGCUUGCAGCUCGUGUAUUACUGAGACUGGCAGAGAGGCGCUCAAAUGACACGGUGGAUGUUCCUGCUCUAGAUCAGAGGUUAACAUAUUUGUCCUUCUUUAGUUCUCACUGGAGACCCGAGUUGUUGUGGUGCCUUUUCCAAACACUCUAUCAGGGUUUUAUAUUUACCACAAAAUAUAGCUAAAUAGUUUGUGAUGUUUUUCUUUGGGUCUCUUUGUGUUUGUGUUGGGAGUUUUUAGCAAGCCGUCAUCCUAAGUAAUGAUUUUUGUCAAUUCCAGGUAUCAUUACCUAAGCAAUGCAGUCCUACAGGCAAAAAAUGCAAGUAACAAUGAUGGCAUGGUAGGUUCUGCUCGAAGUGCUUAUGAUGAUGGGUUGUUAGAUUUGUUGGAAGGAAAGCUUUCUGUCCUUCGUUUUCAGAUAAAGAUCAAGGAGGAACUUGAGGCUUUUGCUUCCAGGAUAGAAGCUUUGCCUGAUGCAUUGGAGCCUGUCCAAAGCGGAACUUCUGGUGAUGCCAAUCUUGCAAUUAUUGCACUAGAAAAGGCCAAGGAGCUAUCAUUAGAUUUAAAGGAAAAUUAAUGAAAAGGGCUUGAAAACUUUGAGUUUUAAUGAUAAGGACAAAAUAAAGGGUAAAGUGAAUAGUACUAGGAUUGACUUUUUAGUGUAAAAAUGUGGUUUUUCGUUAAAGUGAACACGUACACAAAAUGGGUGUAGCGGAGAUGAGGAUGCUUCGUUGGAUGUGUGGGCACACGAGAAAGGAUAAGAUUAUGAAUGAGGAUAUCCGGGGUAAAGUAGGAGUAGCCGAAAUUGAAGGAAAGAUGAGAGAAAAUCGGUUACGGUGGUUUGGACAUGUGCAAAGAAGGCCUACUGACGCUCCGAUUAGAAGAUGCGACUAUGGGACAGAGGUUCAGGGCCGAAGGGGUAGAGGAAGACCUAGGAAAACUUUGGAAGAGACUCUAAGAAAAGACUUAGAGUACUUGGAUCUAACAAAGGACAUGACUCAGGAUCGAGCACAAUGGCGUUCUAAGAUUCAUAUAGCCCGAUCCCACUCAGUGACUUGGAUUUUUCCAAGUCUCCAACCGAGAAGUUUUUCCUCACUCGGGAAAUUAAGGGAACACUACCCCAACCUACAUGCUCCACUCAGAAAGCUUCAACAUACAAGCUUCAACAAAAGAAAAUUCAAAGAACUUAGCGAAGAAGGCUUUGGUGUAUUUAACACAAUACGUUGAAAUGAAGGAAAGCUUAUUUAUUGAUAUCCCCGAUAAGCUACAAAUAUGUACAUAUACAUUAGUCAAAAUAAACACACAAGAGGGAGCCUUCACAAAGGUUGCUUAGGAGAAGUCUCAGCAAGUCGGUAGAGCCCCAGAAAGAGAAGCACCGGAGGGGGAUUAUUUAGAGCCUCAGUACUGGACAGAACCCUAGAAGGAGGAGGGCAUCAGAGGUUGAUCAUUCGGAGCUUUCAUUACGCGAUACAGCCCCAGAAGACGAAGGCAAUAAAUGCCUUUGGAACAAAACCCACAAAAUCUCUGAUGAUCAAGUAAAAACCUGACCAUCAGUUUCCUUCAUCUGGUCAAGCUUCCUCUUCAUGUUUGUAGCAUAGUCAUGUGCGAGCCGGUGCAACUGUUUAUUCUCAUGCUUGAGCCCUCUAAUCUCCUGUUUGAGACUCAUCACUUCAGCCGCCAAUGAUUCAACUUGGCGGGUUUCGAGCAAAUAGGCGUUGGGCCAUAUUAGACACAGAACCUGCACACUGAACACUGAGAGCCAGCGAAUCCUUAACAGCUAACUCAUCAGACCGUUUGGAAAGUAGUCUGUUAUCUUUGGGAGUGAGAAGAGUUCCUGGCCACCACCGCAGCGGUCAUAUCAUUCUUCAUCACGGAAUCCCCAACGGUAAGAGGACCAGUAGGGGAGACGAAGGAUGGGCGCCAUAUGUUGUCUGGAGAAGGCGGGGCUGCCUCUUCAACAAGGUUCAAGUCAAAACGACGGUCGGAGGGGCCAGACAUUUUCAAAGGGUGUUGAAGAGAGAAGAGGUCAGACAAAUCAAGAUCUUAGAAGUGCAAGAAUGAAGCUUCUACUGGUGGAGAUUCAAGUGUGCUUUGGAACUUAAUGCCAGCCCCUAUAAAAAUCUGCACUCGACGGAGCUUCAGAAAUCGAAGAGGCGCCUGCUCAGAAAUCGAAGAGGCGUUUGCUUUCUCAAAAAGCUGGGCUGCUUAGAGAUCACGAGGGUUGAUCUCAGAAAUCGAAGAGGCGUUUGCUUUCUCAAAAGUUGGGCUGCUCAAAGACCACGAAGGCCGAUCUCAGAAAUCGAAGAGGCGCUCGCUUUCUCAAAAGCUGGGCUCCCCAGAGACCACGAGGGCCGAUCUCAGAAAUCGAAGAGGCACCUACUUUUCCAGCCUUGUCAGCACCUGUCACACGCACACUCAGCUUUGCGGAAAUUAUGGGCAUUCUGUCGAAGACUUCUGGGGAAGUAGAAAACACAUGAAUCUUACUGUUCAAUCACCCACUUCCCACACGCAACAUAGCUCAUGGGUACCACAGAUAACUUUGCCAAAGUUCUCUGGCCAAAGUUGAGCACGUGAAGCUUGCAGCUCCCAUUACAUCGCUCUGACCAAGAAGGGUAAAAGAAAGCAAAGAAACAGCACUAACAAAGUUUAGACCCAUAAAUUUUGAAGGUCUAGCUACCAUAUUAUUACCCACAAGGUUAAAGGAACAGUACCCACUGCUGGAAUAAUUGGAAAAGUCCCUGUGUGUCAACCUCUGUGCUUCGUGGCAAGGUAGACUAGCAAACAUGCCCAACCUUUACUCACAUUCGAGAAAAACUCCCAACAAGAUUGCUUGCUCAAAAAUCGAAGAGGCACCGCCCUCCGAAUCUCGAGAGCCAGACUCCCAACAUGAUUACUUUCUCAAAAAUCGAAGAGACACUGCUCCCCGAAUCUUCGAGAGCCAGACCCCCAGCAUGAUUGCUUUCCUCAAAAAUCGAUAAGGCAUCGUUUCUCCGAAUCAAUCGAAGAGGCGCUCGCUUUCUCAAAAGCUGGGCUGCUCAGAGACCACGAGGGCCGAUCUCAGAAAUCGAAGAGGCACCUACUAUUCUAGCCUUGUCAGCACCUGUCACACGCACACUCAGCUUUGCAGAAAUUAUGGGCAUUCUGUCGAAGACUUCUGAUGAAGUAGAAAGCACAUGAAUCUUAUUGUUCAAUCACCCACUUCCCACACGCAACAAUAGCUCAUGGGUACCACAGAUAACUUUGCCAAAGUUCUCUGCCAAAGUUGAGCACGUGAAGCUUGCAGCUCCCACUACAUCGCUUUGACCAAGAAAGGUAAAAGAAUAGCAAAGAAACAGCACUAACAAAGUUUAGACACAUAAAUUUUGAAGGUCUAGCUACCAUAUUAUUACCCACAAGGGUAAAGGAACAGUACCAUUGCUAGAUAAUUGGAAAGUCCCUGUGUGUCAACCUUUGUGCUUCGGGGCAAGGUAGACUAGCAAACAUGCCCAACCUUUACUCACAUUCGAGACAACACUCCCAACAGGAUUGCUUGCUCCAAAAUCGAAGAGGCACCGCCCUCCGAAUCUCGAGAGCCAGACUCCCAACAUGAUUACUUCCUCAAAAUCGAAGAGACACUGCUCUCCGAAUCUCGAGAGCCAGACCCACAGCAUGAUUGCUUUCUCAAAAAUCGAAGAGGCAUCGUUCUCCGAAUCUCGAGAGCCAGAUACCACAGACCACUUUUUCAAAGUGCUCUGACAGAGUUAAAACAUGUGAAAACUGGCAGCUCCCACUACCGUGCUAUGACCAAGCAGGGUAAAUGAAUAGCAUUACUACUUGUUGUUAGGGAGACUCCUAUAUAUGUCCGACCUCCAUCCCCAACGGACAGGCAAGACCUGCAAAAAAUGCUCAACCCUUCAUCAUAUAUGAGAGGGCACUCCCAACGAAGCCUUUCGAAAUAUUCAGCUUUCUUUCCUCCCGAUUAAUACCUCUGCAAACAAGCUAUACUAGAGCAAGAAUAUCUCAUAUCAUCAGGGUUAAAAGCAAGAGUAUCCCAUAUCAUGCUUUUUCCCUGUCUUUUCCUUUGGCCUUGUUUUUACCUGCAAGACAAGGAGAAAGAGAGCAAUCAGUCAGCACUUGGAAUCAAGCUUCCAGCCAGGAACUGACUGCCUGGAACCCCUUACCUGAUUACUUACCUGGCAUUGCUCUCGAGUACUCAUCUUCAACAUCUUAUGUGUCCAGGGAAGAUUUCCGCAUCUGCUUGAGGAACAGAUAGGGCAAGUGCGAAGGAUACAAGGAAGCAUGUGGAGACAAGCGUAACAGCACACGUGCCGAUACAUCCAUUACUCUGUCAAAAGCAAAAGUAUCCCAUAUCAGCAGGGUGGAACGUACUCUAGAUUUGAUGGACUUGUUUUGACCCUCAAAUUCUUCAGUCGGCCUUAUAUUCUGGAGGAAACCAGAAAACCCUCCAGCUCAGUUCAAGAAUAAGCCUGUGGAAAGUUACUUCUUCAAAAACAAAAGUAUCUCAUAUCAUAUCUUCUCAUUUUUCUUCUCUUUAUCCUUCAUGCUGCUGCAAGAUGGGGAGAAGGUGAACAAUCAGUCGGAGCUCUGAUUGCUUACCUUGUCUGUCACCUUUUUCAGCAGACCCCCUAGCUCGGCGACAUGGGGGACUCUUACUACAUGGUUUGUAUCGCGCUUGACCAAGCUUGAAACUACAAGUAAGCUUCAAGUGAAAUUGAUACAUUACCUUGUGCAUCUCCACCAGUUAAAGAUACCACCCCUGGAUGGAGGAAGAGUACUUCCAGAGAAGAUGCCACAUCUACCUAUGAGACAGAUAAGGCAAGUCAAGACGACACCACACUCCGAUACUUAGAAGUUUCGUGAUUACGAGAUCAUUCUCCCACAAUAUUUCCUAAUGUCAUUUGUACUAAAUCAUUCACUUGUACUCACUAAAGGAGAGCUUGAACCUAUGUACUUGUGUAAACCCUUCACAAUUAAUGAGAACUCUUCUAUUCCGUGGACGUAGCCAAUCUGGGUGAACCACGUACAUCUUGUGUUUGCUUUCCUAUCUCUAUCCAUUUAUAUACUUAUCCACACUAAUGACCGGAGCAAUCUAGCGAAGAUCACAAAAAGCGACCGUUUUCGCUACCUAGGAUCUAUCUUGCAAGAGAACGGAGAAUUAGAUGGAGAUCUCAACCAUAGAAUACGAGCUGGAUGGAUGAAGUGUAAGAGUGCAUCCGGCGUGUUGUGUGACCGUCGUAGGCCACUGAAGCUCAAAGGAAAAUUUUAUAGGACGGCAAUAAGGCCAGUGAUGUUGUAUGGCACAGAAUGUUGGGCGGUGAAGCAUCAACACGUACACAAAAUGGGUGUAGCGGAGAUGAGGAUGCUUUGUGGGAUGUGUGGGCACACGAGAAAGGAUAAGAUUGGGAAUGAGGAUAUCCGAGGUAAAGUAGGAGUAGCCGAAAUUGUAGGAAAGAUGAGAGAAAAUCGGCUCCGGUGAUUUGGACAUUUGGACAUGUGCAAAGAAGGCCGACUGACGCUCCGGUUCGAUGAUGUGACUACGGGACAGAGGUUCAGGGCCGAAGGGGUAGAGGAAGACCUAGGAAAACUUUGGAAGAGACCCUAAGAAAAGACUUAGAGUACUUGGAUCUAACGGAGGACAUGACACAAAACCGAGCGCAAUGGCGUUCUAGGAUUCAUAUAGCCGACCCCACUUAGUGGGAAAAGGCUUUGUUGUUGUUGUUGUUGUUGUUGUUGUCAAUCACUCUGUUAUUUCAAAUUGCACCGUACUGCUUAAUGAGUUGGGGAAAUCUCGUUUUCAUUUAUAACUGAAUUUUUGCUUUUCCUCUGCUGCACACAGAUAUGUCUAGAAAUGCUAUACUUUGCAUACUAUUCUGGUGAUGAUGAUAGUAGCAUCGUACGGGAGACUUGGGCUAGAUUGAUUGAUCAAGCUCUUUCAAGGGGUGGCAUUGCUGAAGCUUGUGCAGUUUUGAAGAGAGUUGGUUCUCACAUUUAUCCUGGAGAUGGAGCUGGUUUACCCCUAGACACAUUGUCUACACCUCGAGAAAGCUGCAAUGGUAUAUUGGAGAAACUCACACGCACAAACUCUAACUCAUAUAUGGGGCACAAGUAGCUAUAGAAGUUUGAUUACUUAAAAAAUUAGAGUUACGUGAUUUUUUAUUUUUUUUUGUUUCAUGUCUUUGUAGGAUCGACUGGAAUCAGGGGUUGAAUCGGUUGGGGGUGAAGAUGUGGCAAGGGCUCUUCUUGCUGCAUGCAAGGGUGCAACUGAGCCUGUAUUGAACACUUAUGACCAACUGUUGACGAGUGGUGCUAUUUUGCCUUCACCAAACCUUAGGUUACGCCUUCUCCGAUCAGUGCUAGUAGUACUGCGAGAGUGGGCAAUGUCUGUGUUUGCACAGAGAAUGGGUACUAGUGCUACUGGAGCUUCGUUAAUUUUAGGUGGAACUUUCUCGAUGGAGCAAACCGCAGUCCUCAACCAAGGGGUUCGAGAUAAGAUCUCAAGUGCAGCAAACAGGUAAGCAUUUUCUUCGCUAAACAUCGUUAAGAGUUUCAAUCUAUGAUUAUGUUCCGAGGUUAAGUUCUUUUGUUCCUGCUGUACGUGAAAUUUCAGGUAUACGACGGAGGUACGAAGGUUGGCCCUUCCGCAAAGCCAGACUGAAGCUGUUUACCAUGGCUUUCGAGAACUCGAAGAAUCGCUGAAAAGUCCCUUUUCCUUUGAUCGGUUUUGAUUGUUCAUUGUACCAUAUACAGUGUACGAAAAUUUUCUUUUUACUUACAACAUUUUUUUCUUUUAAAUUAUGUUGUAAUUUUCUGCAAAAGCGAUGCAGCGAUGAACAAGGAAUGACACUUUAGUUUUUUUUGAACAAUUUUUUUUUCUUUUUAAAGAAAAUAAACUCAAAUUACAUAGUGUUCUAAAAAAGUACUUAAAAAAAUAAAGCACUUUUCCGUGUUCAUGUUGCACUUUUAGAUCUUGGGCCUCGUGAUACAAUAUUGGAUUUAGAUUUUGUUAUUCAAUUAAGGAGAGUGGUUAAAAAUUUGUAAUACAAGUUAUUUCGUAACAUCAUAUAAUUAUUAUAAAUUUACUUUAAAGAUUUCGACAGAAUAAAAUAUUAUUUAGAGCUUUAGAUUUGUGGGUCAAUUUAUCUUAAUGAUUAAAAAACUAAUCUGAAGAUAAUAUUUUAAUAAAUACACUGAAAAUGGUUUAUUAUUCAACUAAACUUAAAAUAGUUUACUUAUAAGGAGCGUUAAAUUUUAUGACCAAAUUUGUUAUUUUUCUUUGUAUUACGUCAAUGUACCAUCUGAUGUGACAUGAAGUUAAAAAUUACAACUCAUAGUCAACAAGAUAAAAGAAUUAAAUUGUUAGAUUAAGUCGUGAUUAGGCAGAUUUGGAAUAAAUAAUCGUUGAUGAACUAGUAGAGAAACCAAAUACAGACAUUUUCAGCCGAUCAUCCAUCAUCAUCAAAAAACGAGGGUACAUCCGUCUUUUCGACCAACAACCAGAUUUCCAACCUCCGUUAGCAGCACCUCCCGAGACCGCCCCCACCCCCAAUAGUCAAUACAGAGAGAGAGAGAGAGAGAGAAAAAAAAAAAAAAAAAAGAAGAGAGAGAGAGAGAGAGGACUGCCACGACUGAGACUAGAAGGCACAGACAAACAGCCCAAAAACCAAAUAAAGAAAUAAAAUAUUAGAAAUUAUAAGCGAAAAAAAGAAUACGAAAACCAAAGCAAAAACUUCCGUAGAAAUUUUGCGUAGCAGUUUUCUUCAAUUUCCGAUUCGUUUCAAAUUUCUGCAGAUCUGAUUUUCCACCGGAGUUAUCGGAUUCCUGAAGUCUUGGAUUCCGGCGAAAACCCUAGAGAAAUGUUCCGAUUGGAGCAGGAGAAGAUCCGGAAGAAUUUGACGCCCGAAUUCUGUGUGCUUCGAUCGGUGAAUUCAUUUAUUUGAAAAAAUUGUAAUUCCUAGGGUCUGACAUGGCCGACGCUCUCUCGGUGAUUCCCGCGGGCGUCCUCCGCAACCUCGCGGACAAGCUCUACGAGAAGCGCAAGAAUGCCGCUCUUGAGGUCUCCUUCUUGCAUCGAUUCGUUAUGUUGCUAGGUUUUCGAGUUGUUGCAAUUAGAUCUUGAAAUUGUAUUUUAAUUUGUUUCGUGUGCAGGUUGAGGGAAUAGUGAAACAGCUCACGAAUGCCGGGGAUCACGAUAAGAUUACGGCUGUGAUCAAUUUGCUCACUACGGAAUUCACUUACUCGCCGCAAGCGAAUCACCGGAAGGUAUUGGUGUUGGUGUCAAUUUCAAUUUGCCAGUUGGUUGUUUUAUAGACUAAUUUGAAGUUCAAUUUGUGUGCUUAUCCUUUUCCAUGUUGUUAAAGUUUCAAGUACACGGAUUUUGAAUAUAUUUGUUGAAUUUUGUAUAGGGAGGAUUGAUAGGAUUAGCUGCUGCAACAGUUGGGUUGACCAUUGAAGCGGCUCAGCAUCUUGAGGUAAGGGUUUGGGUACACAUUGAUCGAUUUUUAAUUUACCAAAAAAGGGUAUAGAUCCUGGAUAUGUGUGUAAUUAAGUUUCCCAAGUUAGUUAUAGCAAGGGUUACAGAUAGGAUACUUAGUUUUGCUAAUUAAAAUUAGCAAUUAACAUGGGCACAGUGUGCUAGUCUUUCACUCUAGAUGACUAAAUCACUGCUUGUUAACCCACCAUAAUGUUGUUUUGUGGAAGAUGCAAUCAAACUAAGAUGAGGAUAACUAAGCUUGAUGAACCUAAGUGAAUUAUCAAAGAUUCAUUUAGAAAUAUUUGUAACUUGUAAACUUGUAAGUCUUUCAAAAGUUAUCUUAAUUGAAUUGAAUGCCCGCUGAAUAUAGUGGAUUUACAUAUAAGCCUAAAACGAGUAGUGAUUUGUUGCGGGAAGCAUGAUGCCAAAGUUUGGAUCUUCUCUUUCUGAAAAGUAUGAGUUUCAUAGCUAUAAUAUGCAUUUCUGACUUGAUUUAAGUUACAAAUUCUUCUUGGUGUUGAAUAUUUCUUCUGCUUCUGAUUCACCCUGCCAGCAAAUUGUGCCACCUGUGCUUAAUUCCUUUUCGGACCAAGAUAGCAGAGUUCGUUAUUAUGCUUGUGAGGCGCUAUAUAACAUUGCAAAGGUGGCUGAAUUUUUAACUUAUUAUUCUGUUUUUCUCACCUGGCCUUGAUUUAAUUUAAUUUGAUUUUUACUGGCUUGCAGGUUGUAAGAGGAGAUUUUAUCAUAUUCUUUAAUCAGAUAUUUGAUGCCUUGUGUAAGCUUUCAACAGACUCGGAUGCUAACGUACAAAGUGCUGCUCAUCUUUUAGAUCGGCUUGUAAAGGUACAUAAACUUCAAAAUAUAGGCUUUUGUCUACCCCUAAAACAUCAGAUUUUCUCAAUUGUUUGUCUUCAAAAUAGGCAUUUAUUUCUGUUAUAUUAACUUCAACUUUUUAUUUGGAAGCAGGAUAUUGUUACUGAAAGUGAUCAAUUCAGGUAAUAUUCUUGAUCUGGAUUUGUCUCUCAAAACAUUCUUACAACACUUACAAUGUACCUUUGUUUUAAUGUUCUUUCCCUUUCACAGCAUUGAAGAAUUUAUUCCACUGUUGAGGGAGCGUAUGAAUGUCCUGAAUCCCUAUGUUCGUCAGUUUUUGGUUGGAUGGAUCACUGUCUUAGACAGUGUUCCAGAUAUUGACAUGCUGGGAUUUCUUCCUGAUUUUCUUGAUGGUAAUUGUUUAUACUAUGAAAGAUUGAUGUGCUUCUCUCAUUUCUCAUCUUUUCCGAUAAUUGCAUAUGAACUCACAGUUUGCUUAUAAAUCUCAGGCUUGUUCAAUAUGUUAAGUGAUUCAAGCCAUGAGAUUAGGCAACAAGCUGAUUCAGCACUUUCAGAGUUUCUCCAAGAGAUCAAGAACUCCCCAGUAAGACUUCUAACUGUUGAUGAACCAAUCCUGCAAUGAUGUUUGUAGUAUGUGUUUCACUAUUUACUUUUUUUUAGAACCUGUGCCAGUCUUUUCCAUAUGAUCAGUUUUCUUCUUUAACUGAAUUGAUAAAAGUAUAUAUCUUGUUCAUUUGUAAUUUUCUGACUCGAGCAGUGCUACUCUUGAAGUCUGUAGAUUAUGGUCGCAUGGCUGAAAUACUGGUACAGAGGGCUGCUUCACCGGAUGAAUUUACUCGGUUAACAGCUAUCACAUGGGUAAGUAUGAGUAAACUAGAGAAGUAUUUACUCAUUGGUAUCAUUGUCCUCUGGUAUUCUUAUAAAUAAAAAUAAAAAAGGCUUUUCUCGAUAUUCAGAAAGAUAACUAGUCUGUUUGACCUGUAUUAUAUUGAAAGCCUUACACAUGUGCUUUCUGCUGUGCAGAUAAAUGAGUUUGUAAAACUUGGUGGGGACCAGCUUGUUCCCUAUUAUGCUGAUAUUCUGGGAGCGAUUUUACCCUGCAUAUCUGAUAAAGAAGAGAAAAUUAGAGUGGUAGGUUUAUUCUCCUCUUCCUAUAUAUCUGGUUUCACUGCUUCAACAUAUUUCCUCCACUGAACUCCUUUUCCCUCUCUCAACUAAAGGUUGCUCGUGAAACCAAUGAGGAGAUUCGUGCCAUUAAGGCUGAUCCAGCUGAAGGGUUUGACGUUGGAGCAAUCCUCUCUAUUGCAAGGAGGUGUAGUUUUUCCACCAAAACAAGCUUGGGUUAUAUGUUUUUAGAAUUUACCUUUUUUAUUUUAUGGGUAUAAAUAGGGCUUCAGUUUGUUGUGGAGCUGCUGUCCAUUCGGAAGUUGGGUUUUAUAUUUUUAUGAUAAAACAUUUAUUAUGCUUAAUUUUUUUUUGUAUUGAUUUGAGAAUAUUUUCUGAUCAGGCAAUUAUCUAGUGAAUGGGAGGCUACUAGAAUCGAAGCACUGCACUGGAUUUCAAACCUUUUAAACAGACAUCGCGCUGAGGUAAUUUAGCACUUCUUGAGUUGUUUGUACGUCCAGUUGCUUGAUUGUUUCUUACCUGUCUUCCCAUAAUGUUUAAUCAAGGGAGGAGGUACCAUAACUGGGUUAAUAGUUAGGAAAUUUCUCUAAAUUCUGAUUUUUAGUUAGCGUGGGCAAUGUUUCUUUGUCAUAUCAUAGGUUACUGUUAUGAGGGCCUGUAUUUUUUCUAUUAGAAAUAUAUGAUUUUAAAAUUUCCUUGAAACAGGUUCUAACUUUUCUGAACGACAUAUUUAACACCCUUUUGGAAGCGCUCUCAGAUGCUUCUGAUCAGGUAAUCCUUUUAUUCUGAUGGAUAUUUUUCUCUUAUUGUUCCAAGUUAUAUUUUCUAUUCUUUCUUUGGUUGCAAUUUCAUUUAAGGUGUUAUUGUCAACUCCCACUGUUUCUGUAUUUUGGCACUUGUUAUCUUCAACAUAUAAUUCAUGUGGAUCCUUCGAUUUGUUGAUUGACUAUUACUUAAGGUUGUCAGAGGAAAAAAGAUGAUUGAAAAACAAUACUGCUAAGCGAAAGCUAUUCUAAACUUAUAUUUCCAAUAGUGAUGGUUACAAUGAAAUGGACUUGGUGUAUUGUGUUUGAAAAUUGGCUUUUUGAAAUAUGGUAAGAGAAUUUUAAGUGAUUAUUCUAAGAAAGUUCCUCCGUGUUUGAAGUCAUAAAGGUUGUAGUCCCCCUCAGGUAAUUAAAAGGAAAUUUAAUAUUCUUUCAAUUAUUUAUAUUUAUUUUGGUUUCAAUUAUUGAUAUUGGCCAUAAUGUGUUUGAAGUCGUAACAUUUGUUCUGUUUGGUUCAACCCUUGAAGUUAUGAUUACUGUCAGUUGUUUUGUUAAUGGGCUACGAUGUCAUGCACCAAAUAAUAGUGUUGUUACUUUCGUUCAUUCUCUCUCUGUGCUUUGCGAUUAUCAUCUGCUGACUUAACUAUAUUAUACUUUUCUUUCUUAGUUACUUACUUGUCCAGAGGCAUUUUGAACUUUGUAAAAAUAAAGUUAUUCAGUUAUCGUGUAAUAUUUCAUUUCCAAUUAUGGGCUUUAGCUGUCUCCUAGUAUGCUAGAAUGAAGGUUAUUUAUUGCUUUAUGGUGUCCAGAAACAUGCAUGAAAAGCUAACUGACUCCAUGUGUGUAUCUAAUGUUGCAAGUCUGGAUUAUGUCCAGGUGGUUCUCUUGGUCCUAGAAGUUCAUGCAUGCAUAGCAAAAGAUCCACAACACUUCCGCCAGCUUGUUGUGUUCCUUGUGCAUAAUUUUCGUGUGGAUAACUCUCUUCUAGAAAAGUGAGUCUCUCCCUCUCCCUCUCUCCUCCCUCCAUGUGCUGUAGCUAAUUUUAAAUCUGUGAUAAUAUGUUUCUUGUUUUAACUCCGGUCCUUAUUUUGUUUUCCUUUCCCCAAGACGUGGUGCGUUGAUUAUUCGCCGACUUUGUGUGCUUUUAGAUGCUGAAAGGGUCUACCGAGAACUGUCUACUAUACUAGAAGCAGAGUCAGACCUGGAUUUUGCAUCUGUUAUGGUUCAGGUUGUUAUUUAUCACACUACUUAGAGCAACAUGUGCAUGAGUGACCCAAAUGGAGCAACGAUCGCAUGUGACAUGAUAAAUGAGCUCGUACAUUGUAUUGCCCAGAAUUAAAAUGUUUUUCUCCUGACUGAGGCAUUUAAAAAGACCAAUUUUAUUGUAUACUUGUGUUCUUUAUUCAAGAGUUCUUUCUUCUGUGUUCUGUCUAGCCUAAUCUUUUUUUAUCCCUGUGUUCCUUUUCCUUGUUCAGGCUUUGAACUUGAUUUUACUUACAUCGUCCGAGUUGGCUGAGCUUCGAGAUCUUUUGAAAAGAUCACUUGUGAAUCCUUCUGGGAAGGACUUAUUUGUUUCCUUAUAUGCUUCAUGGUGCCACUCACCCAUGGCAAUUAUAAGCCUCUGCUUAUUAGCUCAGGUGAGGCUCUAGAGCUUUGUCACCUAUGGUCACCCCUUUCAUUUAAAAAUCUGUGUUUGCGUGUGAGCAUUGGAUUUCUUGUCCUGAACAUGUCGUGUUGUUUUUUUCAUGACAGACAUAUCAGCAUGCGAGUACUGUGAUUCAGUCUCUGGUGGAGGAAGAUAUUAAUGUCAAGUUUUUGGUCCAGCUGGAUAAAUUGAUUCGGUUACUAGAAACUCCAAUCUUUGCGUAUCUUAGAUUACAGGUGCAGUAUUGAAAUGCUUCUCUUUUUCUUAGCAUUGGAGUCCUCCUGUGGCAUCCGUCAUGUUUACCCUCAUCAUUUUGUGUUUGCUUUCUCAAACUGGCAUGAGUUUGAGUGCCUGAGCUCGUAUUUUGAUUCUUGCAGCUUCUUGAACCUGGAAGACAUAUGUGGUUGUUAAAAACCUUGUAUGGUCUUCUGAUGUUGCUUCCUCAGGUAUAAACUAAGCGUUCUUUUUAUGCUAUUUAAGGAUAAUUUUGAUUGUGUGCCAAAUUGUUUUCUGGUGGUAUUCAGUAAUUAAACUAUCAUUAAGCAUGAACAAUUGAGAUCAAACCCUAGUAUUUUGAAACUCCUUCAAUCUGUGCACUGCAAGAAUUUUUGUUUUUGUGAUUGAUAUUUGUUACGUGUUUUAAGUUUCAUUUGAUGCUUCAUUGCAGCAAAGUGCCGCCUUUAAAAUUCUACGGACGCGUUUAAAAACUGUCCCUUCAUACGCAUUCAACAGUGAGCAACUCAGACGAACUUCUUCAGGGAAUCCCCAUCAGAUUAUACCUCACAUGCCAAGUUGUUCGCAGAUCAUUGAAGACGGGGACAUAAACCAGGACAGUAAGAGUUCUCAUAAUGGAAUAAACUUUGCUUUAAGACUACAGCAGUUUGAGCAAAUGCAUCAGCAACAUCGUCAGCAUGCAAAAGUGCAGGCACAGUCACACAGUACUUCCACAGCUUCUUCAACACCGAAGGUUUGUUGAGUUUCUUCCAUUUGGGAAACAUUGCUGUUGAGAAAAAUAGAUUUCGAUGAGUGUUUUCAGCAUAUGUUUAUUUGAGGGCCGUAUUGGUAGGCAAGAUUCGUUAUCGUUAUAUAUGUAAUAGGGUUUUGUUGGAAUUACAUUGCUGCCUUGUUGUACAUGCAGGAUGUGCAAAGACCUGAAGAACAAAGCCAUAGCCGAUCGCCUUCAUCAGAUGUGAAUAGGCUUCCUUCCAGAUCUCGGAGGGCCCCGGGGCAGUUACAAUUAUAACGUUGCUGCACCUAGACAGUGGCCGAGGCGAUAUUGUACUCAUCUGAGGAAGGAGGAAGCGUAGGAGCCGUGGAUGACGGGAUCUGGUAUAGUUUGUAAAAUUGUAUAUCUUAGUAGUUUGUUGUUAAAACUCAUGGAGGUUGGGAUGGUAAAAAUUGGGUUUCGAAUUGAGUUGAGCUCAGCUGUAAGCUCGAGCUAUUCUUUCGGACUUGUGUAAGCGAGCGGGGAUGCACCCCUACGUGGUUGUGUUAUUUUUUUAUCGAAAACCACGUGGGGGUAAGAAAGGAGGGAGGUAUUUCAUUUAGAAGAUUCAGUUUGUUUUCUUAAUACCCACCUGUUACAGCAGUCUUAUAAAUGUCGAGAGCUACUUCUUCUUGUACACCUUUGAUCUGAUCCUGAAUUUUUUUUUUUUAAAAAAAAAUGAGAAAGAAAAAAAUAUAUAGUUUAAUGUCUAGUAUUUAUUUUUAAUCGAUCGAUGCACUAUUGUUUUCGCCAAACUCUGUUUCUUGAUUUCUUUCAUUUCGUCGGCCAAAAUAUCUUGAAAAUGAUCUUCACGAAUUCAGAGUGAUGGUUUUAGUAGAUUUUCUAAAAGGCAUGUUAGUCAAUUUUCUCCCAAAAUUUGUACGGAGCUUGAACAUUAAGUUUAGCUAAUACCCAUGAACAUUUAUACUUCGCUAAUUUCCCUCCGUAAAUUUUAGUUUAGCCAAUUACCCUUGAACCUUUAUAAAUAUUUAAUUUUCUAACCAUCUUGAUCAUGAGGAUAAAACAUAACAACUAUAUGAAGGCAAAAAAAGGGAAAAUUAGAUGAAUGAAUUUUUUGGGAACUUCAACGAAAAGCUUCUAGUGCUAUUCACUUUAACUAAAAACUAUAUUUUUACACUAAAAAGUCAAUUAUAGUACUAUUCCCUUUAUCCUUUAUUUUGUUUUUAUCGUUAAAAUUCAAAAUUUUUAAAUUCUUUUCAUUAGUUUUUCUUUAAAAAAAAAAAAAAAAAGAAAUCUAACGCAGAGGAGGAAAUCGGGUACCUAAAAAAUUUUAGGCAUGUAAUCAAUUAAAAUUAAAGUUUGGUUGGGAAAUUGACUAAUAUAAAAGUUCUAAGAUAUAAUUGGUUAAAAUGAAAAUGUAAGAGAAAAAUUGAACCCACUAUACAAAUUUAGUGGACAAAUAGACAAAUACCUCUUUCUAAAAUAUGUUUUAGCAUGGAAUUUUCUCCCACAAGAGAUCUUAAGACACCGAUGGUUUCAAAAAUCAAAUCCAAUUAAAAUAACAAGAUAAGUAAUAUAGCAACACACAUGCCGUAUUACAACUUGGAAAUUUUACAAUACAGGGGAAAGGGAGGAACGUCCAGAAAUCAGAGCCUUGUGCUGCACCGUGAACCGGAAGCGAUGCGCUCCGAAUCGAAUCAAGUCCUCGAUCGAUCCGCUAGGUUUUCGAGUUGUCAUUUCACGGGGGCAAUUGUUUCAUCAUAACAAGAAAGAACGUUCCAUCUAAUACAAGCAUCCUUCUUACACAUCCAUUCAGGCACAACAAUUGAACUGCACCGGAAGCUUUGAUCCUUCAUAUCGUAAAAGUGAAGAAAUGCUUGAGAUAGCGCUCCGGAUUUUAUCAAGACCUCACCGGUGUGGAAUGCGCAUAAACAACUGUAAGGGUAUGCAACGUCGAAAACCUCCUUAACCCACACUUGAUUUUGGUAGUCCUUCAAAAUCCACAACUGUGACGCUGCACUACAUGAAGUCGAACUUCUCCCCAUGUCAUAUGUGAGAGCUAAACAUCCACCCACAUCAACAACUGCCCAAAAAUGAUGGCGGAUACUACAGACUUCUCGAGGAAAUGGGAUGACUUUGAAUCUUUGCUCCCCUAGGUCAAAUACCACUAUACAUUUCUCUUCCUCGUGUAUCCAAUGUAUGGCUCCGUGAAGGCACACACUUCUCAUGUCAAUGUGCCAAAAAGUAUGAUCAAAUGGCAGAUCAUCGUGCUCUACCUCUACGCACCUCCACGACUCCGCACUACCCAGUGUGAAAACUUGGAGGCUAAUAACUGCAACCGCCCUAUAAAAAUUGGCAGGCUCUUGGUGUAAAAACCUGCAUAGCUUGACUUGGACAACCAUGUACUCGUUUCUAACAGGACUGAAUCCAAAGCCAUAUCCAACCUCGACUCCGCAGGGUUUGAUGUCCGGUGAAGUAGAUUGGUGGCUGGUGGGUGAAUUGGAAAUGGAGGGGAGGGUCAUAGACUCUCGGGUGCAGGGGUUAAAUACACGAAUGCGGUGCUCACGAAAGAAGAUAAAACAAGCCAAGCCGUUGGUACACAGUAUAAUGGGGAGACUGGAUUCUUGGGGCUCUAGUGUUAGAAGGUGGGUGGCGCCGGCGGGUGAGGGGCUGCCAUCUUUGUUGAUUUGGAGGGACAUAAUGUGUUGCCGCUUCGUGUCGAUGUGCCUGAGAUCGAGGAGGAGCAGACUGGUGUUUCGAUUGGAAUGCAAGUUCCGGUAGGCAAUGAGAAAAGAAGGGUUUCGGGUGAUGAGAGCGAGCCACGCCUUGCAAACACAUUUGAACCGCAUCAGAGACUUGGCUGGUAGCUUUGGGAGUAUUCGAAACCAUAUGAUUUCAUUUGGGAGCUCUGCAACUAGUGAUUGAAUUUUCGGAACUUCAUCGCCUUUCGCUUCAGCUACUUCCAUGGUGAUUUUUCGGCCGGGGAUUCCGAAUCCCGACCAAAUUUCCGGUUUUCAAUUUAAAAAAAAACAAAAUACAAAUGCGAAAUGUAAACGAAAUGGUUAUCAAACAGAUCUUAUGAAAUAUGGAGUUUUCAAUAAUUCAGCGUGUGAACAUAUAAACAAAAAAGAUCAAAACAGAGAAACGGAGAGAUCAAAGCGACCACUUAGUAGAGGAAGUUUUACCAGAUCCCUUCUUCUCUUUGGUUUUAUGGCCACCGUGAGGAUCGCCGUCUGCCGCAGCGAUAAGCGUGUCUGCGCUAACAACAGUCCCAGAAGCUUCUGCUGUACAACGAAAAUGGCGAGAUAUAUAUUCUUUUUCUUCAUGGACACGUACACGAGAGAUUUUUCAGCGUGCGUUGUUGGCCCGUUUUACUUUUUAUGAUUAAAACUUUGAAAAGAGAUUAUUUUUUUAUUCAUCCAAUAUUCUAAUUAAUUAGGAUGUCGGUAUCCAAACCAUUUUUUAUUCAAUUGAUACUAGUAAAAAACACACUUUAUGUGUGAGAAGUACAUUUUUUAUUUUUUAUUUUUUUAUUUUUUUGAUGGGAGGAGUAAAUUUUUUUUACAACAGGGAUUUGAAAAAAGAAAUAAACAGUUCAAUUUGACUGUGAGGUUUAAAUUAAAAAAAAAACGUGUUUGUACAAAAACCAUUGAUCUUCGUAUCAUAAAAGUGAACCCGUGGAAAAAAUUGAAUAAAGACCUCACCUGUGUGGAUCGUAUACAAAGAAUCAAAUCCCUUGAAUGUUGACUCCCUCGGUAAGACGGCAACCCAAACUUGAUUUUGGUAGUCCUUCAAAAUCCAUACCUAAGGUACCGUUUGGUACGUGAGACAGGACGGAAGACAGUGGGAUGAUGCGUUCCGUCCUACGUUUGGUGUGUCUAAAAACCGCGGAACAGAUUUGUGAACACGGAAAAUUCCUGAAACGAAAGAGACAAGAACAAUCGUGCACAAACAAAUAUUUGUAUUUAGAUGAUUUUGGGUUACAAUCUCUCUCUAAUUUGAUCAUCUGAUUCGAUCUCCGUAAGGUGUUGAUUUGUGGAUGUUUCGUUGAUCCAAGGGCCGUUGGGGCUUGAUCUUGGAUGAAUUGUUGGAAGUUUCUUCAAAGGGCCGUGGGCUUGAUCUUUGAAGGUGGAUUUGAGCGGAUCUUCAAGGAGCCAUUGGGGCUUGAUCUUGAGUAACGGUGAUGAACGGAUCUCCAAGGGCUUUUGGGCUUGAUCUUGAAGAACAGUGAUGACCGGAUCUUCAAGGGCUUUUGGGCUUGAUCUUGAAGAACGGUUGGAUGUGUGGAUUUGUCAACGUUGUUGAUCCAAAGGGCCGUUGGGGCUUGAUCUUGGAUGAACGAUGAACGAAGAACGAAGAACACUUUCUUCGAGGGCCGUCGGGGCUUGAUCUUGAAGGUGGAUUUGAUGAAGAACGAAAAGGGCUUUCUUGAUCCUUCGGGAUUUGCUUGAGCGCUUCGGAGUUUCAGAGCUUCAGAGCUUCAAGGUGUAAUAUGAAUUCCUCUCCCAAAAUGAAUGAAAUGGGCUUGUAUUUAUAGAAUUUUCCAAUGCCUAAUUUUGAAUAUAAUAUCCCAGAUGAAAUAAGUCGUUUCUGCCAGGUGUUGACACGUGUCCUAUUUGAUGACUUUUCCAACUCAUUUCAAUUUUCGUUGAGUCACACGCUACGUGCAAAAUUUAUGUAAUACAUGAGCGUUGACACUUGAUUUAUCGGUCAACAUUUAUUUACGAAAUUUCGAUGUCUACAAGAUUAUCCCAUGAGACGAAAAUUGGCUAAUUUUUUGUUCCACCUUCUCCCCUGUAACGAUUGGUUUCACAUUCGUGAACACAAAUUUAUAACAUUUUAAGACAAAAUUGCCCCUUAUCUUUUUCAAUAUUUACACCAUCCAUGGAAGAUCGUUCCGUUCCGUCCCGUCUGCGUACCAAACGGACCAUUAACGUCGUCCUCAAUUUUCUUGAGUUCCAAGGCUUCUUAGAGCAAGACAUCCACCAAUGUCCACAAUUGUCCCGGGAUUGCAUACGUAUCCGCCGCUAGCAUCUUCUUUAGGAAGAGGAAUGGCUCUGAAUCUCUCAACUCCAAGAUCGAAUACCAGUGUUUUAUCAUGACAUACCCUGUGGAGGCCUCCAUGAAGGAACACUCUUUCACUGCACAUGAAGCGCGUCAGACGUACUUUUAGGAAGAGGACUUGUAGACGCACUUGAAGCUAGCACGUCAGAGACUUGGCCGGCGUGUUUGAAACCACAUGAUUUCGUUAGGGAGCUGCGGAAGUUUUGAUCGAACGCGACCAUUACCUUCAACUUCAACUACUUCCAUGACAACCUCGAAACACAAACCUUCUACUCUCUUGCAAAAAUCUCAAUACUCAGCCAAGCAAUAGGUAUUGGUACGUUAGUGAGUGUGUGUUCUGUAGGAGCAGUGGCCAAAGAAAAACCAUAAUCCUUGUACAACUCUGAGUUUCAAACUAAGCAAACCACAGAGUUUUCAAAAUAAGGGUCACGCAGACUCUAAGAUGGAAGAAUCAUCAACUGCUAUAAACAACCCCAAUAAAAAGUGAGAACCCAGAGGGAAGAGCUCCAGUGGUUUGUGAAGAAAGUUGCAUCGAAUCGACUUGCGCUGCCGGUGUCUAAAUCAACACGCCUGGCCGCGUCACCAUUUUCAGGGCAAAUUGAUCGUAGUUGGUCAAGGAAUAAAGGGUUAAUUGUUUCGUCAGCGCCAUUUCCGGUGGUGGUGAAGUUAUACAGUCUGUACUUGAAGAACUGGCAAGCUGAGGUGGGAAGUUGAUAAGUUGUCGAGACGAACUCCCUAUACCCAUUCGUUCAGUCUUAUUGGAAAAGAAAGACGGAACUUCACACCUAUACAACACGGGCAGCAGCAAAUCCACCAAGGUAUGCCUUGUACAUGUUCGACGAUUUACCCCAGACAUUCUGAAAGCUCUCUUCGGUACUAGUCUUUCCUCCUGCCUUGCUUGAUCUGGCUCUGUUGCUCGGUUGAGGUGCCUUGUACCUGCUCGACGAAUUGCUCCAGAGAAUCUGCCUUUUUUUUUUUUUUUUUUUUUUUUUCAGGGCGUCCUUUAUGGUGUUGACAACUCAAAACUGAAUUAUCAUGGGCACAAAUAUCGUUUGUCCAUGGGGUUUUCUUGCAGAGACGGUUAUGCCGACAACUAAUAUGCCCCCCGCUCAACCACUUCUGAAGGCAAGGACUUUUGCUUAUGUGGUUUCCACCCCAAUUGAAGACGUCCAUCUCAGCCAACUUCCAACUCCGGUUGUGCGUGGGGACAAAACAUAUGUCAAGAUUAGCGAGGAUCUAUACCAAGAACAGUUGAAGUUGUUUCAAAAUAAUCUCCUUGGGCGUUUGCUCCUAAAAAAGGGUUCUACGCCAAUGAAGACCGGUGCUCUAAAAUCUUGUUUAGAAGAUGCAUGGCGUCCUACUGCACCAUGGAACCUGGUUCCUAUAGGUAAAGGUUAUUUUGAUAUCCAUUUCAAUAAGGAAGAUGAUAUGCGACGGGCAUGGGGUGGCGGUACGUGUACUCUCGCUACUGGUUUAUUCAGGUUAUCAAAAUGGACGCCAUAUUUAAACCAGGUGAUGUUCUCCCUCAAACUCAUGCUCAGGUAUGGAUUAAAAUUUUUGGUUUGAGUCAGGAAUAUUGGCAUCCUAGACACUUGAUGGAAAUUGCGAGAGGGGUUGGCACCCCCUUGCAACUAGAUUCAGCUACAAGGGAAAGGCAAUAUGGUUAUUAUGCACGUAUAUUAGUUGAUGUCAAUUGAUGUGAGAAUUACUUGACACACAAAUUAAACCCUAUUUGUGACAAUUGUAGUAAUGAUGUAAGUAGGGAUCGUUCUAACCGGAGAUUAACUAGGGGUGCUAAACACUUGACUCAAAUAAAUAAAACUAACUUUUAAAACACUAAGACAAACCAAAAGACUCAAAACAAGUUCAAAAGACUCCAAAUACUUAAAAGCAUAAAAUAAGAUAGAUUUGAACGACUAAGACUUUAACAAAAUAUGGGGAGGGGGAAUUGAGUUGUUUUUGACGAGAUUAAAUUAAAUGGACAGAUUAUAAUUAAGGGCAAAAUGUAAAUAUGAAUUCGAUGAAAAAUAUGGAUGAUGGAAUAGCUUAAGGGGUUCUUCUCCACACAUGUCACACUUGCAAUACAAGAUCGAUUCUCAGUUGGUCUUUCGAUAAAUUAUGAAACUCAAACACCUAGGUUAAUUAGGUCCGCUUAAAUUAACCGUCAAGUUCUCCUUAAGUUAAUGAAUUGGAUGGGUUUUGCGCAACGCAAUUCACAACAUUCUCCCAAAAGUCCUUUACGUGAAAAGCACAAUAAAGAUACAAUCAAAGAUCAUUAAGCAUCAUGAAAACUACUAUAAGUGUUGACGAGGUAUUCGUUACUAUGAAAAGCAUGAAACUAGUGCCAAGAAUUCAUUUAACGCGAUUGUUUAUAAGCAACCUCCACUACUUGUGAAUAUAAGUUCAUAACGAUUAGGUGAAACUCACUUAUAUUCUAGCGUCAUAUUUAUGCAUGAAAAUUAAGCGUGCACUCUCAAUAAACAUACAUAAAUAAGUUAUCAAUCAAACGGUUAAACAAAUUGAAUCCACAACUUAUGAAAUUCCAACCAAAGAUAAUCAAUUCAUAUUGCAAGCAUAAACAUAGUUUCGAAUCACCCCCUAGCUAAAGGGGGGUUUAGUUCCUCAUACUUGCAAAACAAAGAUACAUAAAAUUAGACAUUGAAAUCAAAGAUAGAAAACACCUAGAAACGCUCCAACACUCCCAAGGCUUGGGCUUAGGCACGGCACAAGAUGUUCCUUCUCCUUCCUUACUUGCAAGCUGCGGCACUAGAGGUUUUGGACGGUUUUGGGUGGUUUUUAUGGUGUAGAAUGGAUGAGGAAUGGUAUGGAAAGGUUUAGGAUUGAUGGGUGGUGUGGCUAGGGGUGAUUUUUGGCUAAAUUUGGAGAGAAAAUCUGUUAUAUCUUUGAUGAAUAUGGAAGGUGGUAUUUAUAGGCUUGAGAUAGGACCACUCCAUUUCCUUUGCAUGUGAGCUUGUGUGGUGUGUGUUGGCAUGUUUCCUCUUUACAUUUACACACACAUGCUUCAUCAUUUCAACCACAACACACACACAUUUUCUGCCCUAUUUUCCUUUACAUUUACACACACAUGCUUCAUCAUUUCAAGCACCAAACACCCACAUUUUCAGCCCAUGUUUCUCCUUUCCUUUGCAUGUGUUGUGCCUUCUCUUCUAGCUGUGCAUUUCCACUUGCUCCAAAGACAAAUGAGUGUAAUCAUAACUCCAUUUGCUGCUGAGUGUUGAUGACAAAGCAAAACACAAAACAAGUGCCUUUUAUUAGCCAAAUCUGCUUAGCCCGUUUCUAAACCUUUCAGUGUUAAAAUGCCCAUAACUUCUUCUAGAAAAAUGAUAUUAACAAUCUGUAAAUUGCUCCAGAAAAUAGACAUCCGUAGCUUUCCAAGCAUAUAAGGCUCAUUCUCUCAUUCAUUUGGAGCUGUUCGUAACAUGCUUCCAAAGUCAGCUAAUCUGCACAGGCAGUUUUUGACGAAUUUGUUGGUUGUCCAUGUUUCUCUUUUGCACAUGCCUUUCUUGCUGUUUUCUUCUUUGCAUGUGUGUGUUGUCAUCUUUGUUUCUCCUUUGCACAUGACAUGUGCUGUCCAUGUUUAGAUCCCCUUUGCAUUUGCACACACUUGCUUCAUCAUUUCAACCACAAAACACACCAUUUCCUUCCCCUUUGCCGUGUAUGUCCCUUUUACUUUGCAUGUGGGCUUCUUUGCAUGUGUUUUCUCCCUCUCUUGCCUUGAGUUUGCAUGUGGGCUUCUUUGCAUGUGUUUAUCCUUGCAAUUACACACACACACUUGCACACACAAAAGCCCAAAACGUCCAUCCUCAUGUCUCCAUGUUUGCACCAUCCAAUCUUAGCCCAAAAAUGCUCCAAAAUGCAUCUUCUUGCAUCCUUGGCCCAUAGAACCUACAAACACACAAAAAUGGCUUAAACUACUAACAUAACUAAGAACUAAGAACAUAAAUGCACGAAAACAAACAUACUAAGUGGCAUAAAUAUGCUCCUAUCAAAUUCCCCCACACUUAGCUUUUGCUAGUCCUCGAGCAAAACAAAGAAACAAAACAUAAGAACAAAACAAAACCUAAACCUUCCAAUAUUUACCUUAGGGAUUUUCAAUGCAACAUGACAUGCAAAAGAUCAUCAUAACCACAUAUUUUGGCCUUCCCUACCCUUGAGCACAUACUUAAUCAUAGUCACCACAUACUAGUUCAUAUAUAACCAAUUAAAACUAUGUUUUGAAUGUAGUAACAUGCCUUAGAGAAUCUGCUCAAUUCCUUACAAGAUACACUCUUAUUUUCACUCCGAUUUUCUGACUACACACCCCUACACUAGGUGUAUGUGAGAAGAUUGAUGUAAACAUGAAAACGAACACUCACAUAUGUUUAUAGCAAAGAAAGCAAUUUCUGGAGUUAUUAAGCAUGUAUAGAUAUGAUCUCAUGACUGGAAUGCUACUACUUAGAUACGAGAACCAGGGACACCAUAUGCUCGUACCAAUCCCAAACUCCACAUAUUGAAACGCAUAACACUCAAGAUUGAAGUUAAGGGUUGUAACGGGGUUAGGGGUGAUUGGCUAACAAUGAAAGGUAAGGAAACAAACGUUUUUAAAGCAUAAUAAGCAAAGUAAUGAAAUUGAUGCUUGGAAUUCCCUUUGAAUGCAGCAACUAACUUUAAACACAAUGGGGUUAUUCAUUCAACUUUUUAGGGCCGAUUUCAACUAUAAACAACACUUGUGAGUCUUUCCUCACUUAUUUCAAACUCUUUUUCUUUUUUUUUCUUUUUCUUUUCUAACCCGUGCCUUAUUACUUUCUUUUGGCACACAAAACACAAAAAUCUCAUUCCCCCAUACUUGUUUUAUUAAUAAAAACAAUCAAAAGGAAUUCAUUUUUAAGUCAUGCUUCAUUAUGCUUUAAAAACAAGGGUAUGGAUAGUCCUAAUUUAGGCUAGGUAAGGGAAAUGUGGUUUAACAAAGAAAACAUGCUAAACAAGGCUCAACGGGGUUAAACUUAAACAAAUAUGCACGGGAUAAGCUUUUUGGCUCUAGUUCACUACACAACUUCAUCUUGAAUAUGUGUUAUGCAAAUCAAUGUCAUGCUUUGAAUGGAACGGGCAUAAGUUCUAGUAUUUGGAACUAAAUGAUGAAACGCCUUCUAAGUAGCAACCAAGCAAAGAAUGAUGAGAUCAUGCAACGACUUUAGAAAACAAAAAUGCACAGAUUAAUAACUUUCCAAAGAACGUAUUAGGCUCAAGUCUCUCAAGGUUGUAGUGUUAGUUUGAGUUCCUUCCUUCAAGCAUGUUACAAAAACUGAUUUUUUUUCUUUGUGAUUACAUGUGAAUUCGUAAACUAUAACUAUAACCAAGCAUAAAUCAAGAGCAUAUCAAACUUCCAUCCAUGUUUAUAACUUUCUUUAACAGUCAUGCAAUUAACAAACCAAAUCCUCAUUAUUGUGUUGGAAGGUACCCUAAGACACAAACAAACACACAAAAACAACUCUUUUUGGCUUUUUCAAAACAAUUUUUUUUUCAAACUUUUGUCAAAUUUUCGGAUUUUUAUGUCAAAACAUACUAACAUGCUUAAAAACACACUAAAAACACUUAAAACAGCAAGAAACAACAUUGUAAGUGAUAGGUACCAAAUCCCACGAAAAUCAUGCAACAGCAACUUGUUUACCCCCCCACACUUAAAUCUAACAUUGUCCUCAAUGUUUCAAACAUAAACUCACACAAAAGCAAACAAACAAACAACGAGGAAACAUGAUAAACAUGGCAAAGUAAAAGCAACAGAGAGGAGGGUUAAAGAACGCAAACACCUGGUUUUGGAGUCGGAAAUUCCUAGGUCUUCUUUAUUUCCAUGGGUUGCCUCCAUCACUAAUGAGAACUCUAGGCAUGCCAAACCUAGCAAAGAUAUUAGUUUUCACAAAAUCUGCAACAACCUUUGAAUCGUUAGUCCGGGUGGCUUUGGCUUCCACCCAUUUGGAAACAUAAUCAACAGCUAGCAAGAUAUAAGUGAAACCAAAAGAUGGAGGGAAAUGACCCAUGAAAUCUAUACCCCAAUGUCAGAAAACACUAUAAUAAAAAUAAAAUAAAUAAAUAAUAAGAAACAAAAUAAAGCAAUUGGACUGAAAACUUCCCUAGUUGCAGUAAAACCAAGCGAUGACCCCCCAAGCUAAAAUUCUGUAAUCAACUUCAAGGGUGGAAAUAACCAAAAGUUCCUGCAAAGAAAAGAAAUAAUUCAGUUAAGUAACGCAAGAAUUGCAAACGAAAAAUUGAAAAUCACGAUAAAAGACAAUGAAUAGAACUAAUAAGUGAUCAUUGGUCGUGCUUGUUGACUUUCCACAGCUUUCCUCUUGAACUGGGUGACACUUAGCUUUUUACUUGCAAGUGAUGAUUUGAUGAUAUUGUACGGCGAAGCUUUGCUCUUUGGGAAUGUUGCAGUUCCCUAUUUGUUCUCCAAGCAGAUGUGGCAGCUUCUCUAGUUCCUCAGCUCGGACUCCUUCCGUUGGGAUGAUUGUGCAAGCUGCAUUCUUCUCUGCUUGUUUCUUCUGUACGUUGUCUCCACAUGCUGUUGGUAUCAUUUUCGCUCGCCUUAUCUGUUCUUCAGGUAGAUGUGGCAGCUUCUUUGGAAGUACAUCAGCAGUGGAAGACGAGUACUCGAGAGCAAUUUCUCCAUGUCCUGCAGGUUAGAACAAAGACAAGGAAAAGGACAUGGAGAAUGCAUGAUAUGAGAUACUCUUGCUUUCAACCUUUAUGAUAUGAAAUACUUUUGCUCUGGAUGGGUUGUUUGCAGGGGUAUCCCAGGGAAUGAGGAAUACAGUGUGACUCGAGAGGGUUCUUUGGGAAUGCAUUCUCGGAGAUGAAGAAGUGCUGAGAGGGUGUGCCUUUGCUGUGGAAGGCGAAGGUAAAUACUUAUAGGACUUUUUCUUCACAACCGGAACUAUUCUCUCACUCAUUGUCGGCAGCCGGUGGAUGGAUGAAUAGUACAAAUUACGCGCUUUCUGACAAAGCUGCCCGUAAUUUCCGCAAAGCUAAUUCCUCAUUGAUAUCUGGAAUCGGCGCUUCGAGCUCUGAGCAUCGUCGAUUGUAGAGGUAGCAUGUGACACGUGCGGAUAAAUCUGGAAAAGAAGAUUUGCCCGUGGGUUGAAGCCCAGCUUUUGAGAAAGCUAGCGUGUCUUUGACUGUUGAAUUUCCCUCUUCGAUUUCUGAAUUGGUGCUUCGACAAACUGCCCGAGAUUUUCGCAAAGCAAUUUGCGUGUGACGAGUGACGACACGUCUGGACAAAUUGAUCUUUUGAAAUCCGGGGUUCGGCUCGUGGUUUCUGAGCAAGCCCAACUUUUUUGAGAAAUGAAACGCCUAUUUUGAGAAAAGAAUCCGGCUUUUGAGAAAGGAAACUCCUCUUUUGAGAAAAGAAUCAGGCGUUUGAGAAAUGAGCCCCGACUCUUCGAUUUGCGAGAGGAGACGCUUCUCUGAGGAGCGCCUCUUUGAUUUCUUCUUUUUAUAGAGGCGUUAAUUUUGUUCCACAACACACUUGAGCUCCCUCCUGUAAACACUCCCUUCUUGCACUUCCAAAAUCUUAAUCAGUCAGACUCUCUUCUUUCUUUACCACCUUUGAAAAAUGUCUGGCCCUUCCG